rnacentral:rRNA from 1 species
AAGGACGAACGCUGGCGGCGUGCCUAACACAUGCAAGUCGAGCGAGGAGAGUCCUCGGGAUGAUCCUAGCGGCGGACGGGUGAGUAACACGUGGGCGAACCUGCCUCAUAGAGAGGAACUAGCCGUUCCGAAAGGGAGAUUAAUACCUCAUAACAUUGCAGUUUCGCAUGGAACAGCAAUUAAAGGAGCAAUCCGCUAUGAGGAUGGGCCCGCGGCGCAUUAGCUAGUUGGUGAGGUAACGGCUCACCAAGGCGACGAUGCGUAGCCGACCUGAGAGGGUGAUCGGCCACAUUGGGACUGAGACACGGCCCAGACUCCUACGGGAGGCAGCAGUGGGGAAUAUUGCACAAUGGGGGAAACCCUGAUGCAGCCAACGCCGCGUGAGUGAUGACGGCCUUCGGGUUGUAAAGCUCUGUCUUCAGGGACGAUUAAUGACGGUACCUGAGGAGGAAGCCACGGCUAACUACGUGCCAGCAGCUGC